GCUUCUGUGGUGUAAUGGAUAACACGCAGCCCUCCGGAGGCUGAAAUAUAGGUUCGAUUCCUAUCAGAAGCGCCA
rnacentral:tRNA from 1 species